rnacentral:rRNA from 1 species
GAAUUCACUAGUGAUUCAGGCCUAACACAUGCAAGUCGAGCGGUAGAGAGAAGCUUGCUUCUCUUGAGAGCGGCGGACGGGUGAGUAAUGCCUAGGAAUCUGCCUGGUAGUGGGGGAUAACGUUCGGAAACGGACGCUAAUACCGCAUACGUCCUACGGGAGAAAGCAGGGGACCUUCGGGCCUUGCGCUAUCAGAUGAGCCUAGGUCGGAUUAGCUAGUUGGUGAGGUAAUGGCUCACCAAGGCGACGAUCCGUAACUGGUCUGAGAGGAUGAUCAGUCACACUGGAACUGAGACACGGUCCAGACUCCUACGGGAGGCAGCAGUGGGGAAUAUUGGACAAUGGGCGAAAGCCUGA